CACGUAGGGGGCGAGCGUUGUCCGGAUUUAUUGGGCGUAAAGAGCUCGUAGGUGGCUUGGUAAGUCGGGUGUGAAAUUUCGAGGCUCAACCUCGAGACGCCACCUGAUACUGCUGUGGCUAGAGUCCGGUAGGGGAGCGUGGAAUUCCUGGUGUAGCGGUGAAAUGCGCAGAUAUCAGGAGGAACACCAGCGGCGAAGGCGGCGCUCUGGGCCGGUACUGACACUGAGACGCGAAAGCGUGGGGAGCAAACAGG
rnacentral:rRNA from 1 species